GCUUCCCGGGGGCUCCACGGUCCCCGGUCCCUUUUCUCCCGAAGUCUGUGGGGACUUCCCCCGCCGCCACUCGAUCUCUCAAAGGACCCGCUACACGUGAAUUUGAGAUUCUCACGUUUGGGUGGUUCAGAAAUUAUUAGCCUGUGGGAGCCGCCGACGCCCCCACCAUCCCAGCCUCGCGCGCGCAGCACGAGGAGCGGGCCAAGCACGCCCCCGGCCGGCCCGCCCCGCCGCGCACGAGCCGGAGCGCGGGCCCGAGCGCAGGGGGGGCCCGCCCGCGCCCCUGCACCCGCCGCACCUUCUCCUCCUGGGAAAGUUCUCGAGCCCGACCCUGCGGCCUGCCGCCGGAGGGGGCAGCGGGCCCGUCCGGGCGAGCUGCGUGGAAAAGGAGAAGGAGAAAGGGAAGGGGAGGAAGGGGCGGGGAGGCUGGCGGGGCGAUCCCCUCCGACCCCACUUUCCGCCCCGGCGUGGGCCGCUCUGUCUCUCCCAGCGACACCAUUGUCACCCCCUCCAGGGGCGAGGAGUUUGGGCUCUGGGGUCAGGCUGCUUCGGUGCACAUCUUGCUCCACUCCUUACAAGUGUGCGCUUAGGCAACUUACUUUACCCAUCCCUGCAGAAAAAGAAAAGGCUAGGACCCGUCCAGGGCCAAUCCAGAGUGUGUGGGGCCUGACACGCCAAAGACGCGGGCGAGGGGAGCGGCCUUGCUCGGGGACAGGUGGCCGUCAGACUCGAGGCUCUGCAAGGGGCUGCACAGCGAGGGCCCUGAAGCCGCAGCUUCGUUUGCUCCGUGUUGAACGCCUCUGUACGGCUCUUGGGCUUAUAGACUAAGACAAACAAUAACGCAAUGAGCUCGCCGCGUCUAAGGUGCACUUUGCAUACUUUUCUCAUGGAAGCUCCACAUCUCUUUGCUGUAGGUAGGUAAUCAUCAUUAACUUAUGAAAGCUCGAAAGUGUAUUAAAUUGUUUGAGUUCACACAGAUAGUCAGGCCUGGAAACUAGUUUUGUUUGGGUCUUAAACCUUGGCUCUUUUCUCUACACCUUGGGGAGAAGAGAAGAAACUAGCAAAAAUACAUGAAGUCAUUUAUGUCUUGCAAAGUCGGGGAAAAGAUAUCAAAUUCUGGUAGUUAUUUUCUUAAAGUACGUUUCUACAGCAGGAGAACGAAAUGUAAACCUUAGACCCACAACUCGGUUUUCUAGGCGAGGAAGGAAGAGGGCCUAGUGUAGCACCAGGCACACAACGGUAUGUCUGUUGAAUGAAUUGAUUCAGAAAAGAAUUAGUGAAAUGGUACUUGGUGGUGCAUAUUAAGGCACAACCUUUCAAUAGACGUGAUUCUUGUAAAAAAUGACAGUAUUGCAAGGAGAAAUCUCUUUUUUUCAACCCCUCUAUUUUUUCCUCACUCUGUCCACUCUCAGGUCACUAUUGGUCAACAAAAUGGGCAAAUCAAAUUUAAAGAGGGAGCAGAAGGCAGAAGGAAAGAAGAGAGGAGAAUAAAAGGACCACAGGCAAGGGGCGAGGGAGAGAA
rnacentral:lncRNA from 1 species